rnacentral:lncRNA from 1 species
CUUACUUCCUAGUACAGAUCGAAGAAACCACCAGACAUUCUGAGAUCUUUUCAGGUCUAGAUGCUAUGAACAUCAGACGCUAUUAUGACCCGAGAGCAUGAACAUGAAUCUUCAUUAGUGGAACAAACUACGCUAACACGUAUAUCAGAAAUAACCGUUAGAGAUCACGAGUUUAACCGAAGGAAAAGAAGCAUACCAAAGUAUGGAACAUUAAGAAAAUUGAAUGUUAUAUCAAGAGGUGUUCGACCAUUAAAUUGAUAAACUAUAAAGGGAAAAUGUUCAGCUGCGAUUAAAUCCGUCUUCUCUGAAAAUGAACAAACAUGAUUAUGACGUUUUCUGUUGAUUGCCACCAAAAAUUUAAAUGUCAACUCUACUGUUUUAAAUUUUGCCUUAAUAAAGUUGCUUGUGUCCAAGAUUACAUCUUUUUGGAUACCGUGCAACUUGGGUUUUGCCUUUUCCGAAGUUGUAUGAGGUACUUCUUCUUUCUGUUUAAAAACAUUCAAUUUUCCAAUCAGAAACUUUAAACGACAAAAUUAAGCACGUGAUAAAAUGAUGGGAACUACAUUCAUGUUUCAGCAGAUGUUACACUGUAACAUAGAUGAGUUAAGCAUUUUAUCUAAGUUUUACUCUCAUUGUACAGCGUUCAUGUGUUUUAGUGUUAGUAUCGAAUUGUUUAUUGUUUUGAUACACAGUAGUAUGACUUAUAAGAUAUUCAAAGACGACGAUUUAUGUUUCAGAAACAAAAUAUGAACUAUGCCGCAUGUCCGUAAAUGGGUAUUUUACAUGUAUCUUAUCACCAACACUCAAUAGCCUUGUUUCGUAUUAUGAUCAUGUUAUCUCGACACAAGAUUGCGCAGGUGGAUAAACAACUACUAUAACUUCUAAUGAGUUCAAAACAUUUUACAUCAUAAUCAUUAUCUUAAGAUUGGGAUAUAUUUUUGUACAUUUAAUCUAGAAAUGAAACAUAACGUAUGCAUUUAUGUCAAUAUGUUAUUACAUCAAUG